ACGAACGCUGGCGGCGUGCUUAACACAUGCAAGUCGAACGGUGACGCGCCUUCGGGCGCUGAUCAGUGGCGAACGGGUGAGUAACACGUGGGCAACCUGCCCCUAGCUCUGGGAUAACCCCUCGAAAGAGGAGCUAAUACCGGAUAUCACCGCACCAGGCAUCUGGAGCGGUUGAAAGUUUUUUCGGCUAGGGAUGGGCCCGCGGCCUAUCAGCUUGUUGGUGGGGUGAUGGCCCACCAAGGCGACGACGGGUAGCCGGCCUGAGAGGGCGACCGGCCACACUGGGACUGAGACACGGCCCAGACUCCUACGGGAGGCAGCAGUGGGGAAUAUUGCGCAAUGGGCGAAAGCCUGACGCAGCAACGCCGCGUGAGGGAAGACGGCCCUUGGGUUGUAAACCUCUUUCAGCAGGGACGAAGAUGACUGUACCUGCAGAAGAAGCGCCGGCUAACUACGU
rnacentral:rRNA from 1 species